UGAGGAAUAUUGGUCAAUGGACGCAAGUCUGAACCAGCCAAGUAGCGUGCAGGAUGACGGCCCUAUGGGUUGUAAACUGCUUUUAUUUGGGGAUAAAGUGGGGAACGUGUUCCCUUUUGCAGGUACCAUAUGAAUAAGGACCGGCUAAUUCCGUGCCAGCAGCCGCGUUAAUACGGAAGGUCCAGUCGUUAUCCGGAUUUAUUGGGUUUAAAGGGAGCGUAGGCUGUUUGUUAGGCGUGUUGUGAAAUGUAAGAGCUCAACUUUUAGAUUGCAGCGCGAACUGGCAGACUUGAGUGCGCACAACGUAGGCGGAAUUCAGGGUGUAGCGGGGAAAUGCUUAGAUAUCAUGACGAACUCCGAUUGCGAAAGCAGCUUACGGGAGCGCAACUGACGCUAAAGCUCGAAGGUGCGGGUAUCGAACAGG
rnacentral:rRNA from 1 species